rnacentral:ncRNA from 1 species
GAAUUUAAUUUUGGUUCUGAUUGAACGUUUUUCAGUGGUUUUAAGACAUGCAAAUCUUUUGUUUAUAAAGGUAAAUACAAUUAUUUAUUUUAAUAAAAUAACAUUUAUUACAUAAUAGUUUAUUACUAAUAAAAAAUAAGGUGUAAAGGUGAGUAAUAUGUGAUUAGAUACCUUAUAGUCUCCUUAGUUGGGAGAUAAUUUAUUUCUUUAAUAUUAAAAAUUUAAGAUACUUUAAUUUUAUAUAAUUUAAUUUAUUAUAUAAUUUUAUUAGGAUAAGUAAGGAUAAAUAAGCUAUUUAUUCAAUAAAGGAAGUUUUCUGCUAUAAGAUUUGAUCCAUUCUGUUUAAAGGUAGUUGGUAGAGUAAAAGCCUACCAAGCCAACGAUCAGAAGCCAAGUUUGAUAGAUCAAAUGGCCACAUUGGGAGUGAAAUGCCCCUAGUAGUUUAUACUACCAGCAGUCAAGAAUAUUAGUCAAUGCUCGCAAGAGUGAACUAGCUAACUGAAAUCGUAUUUUUCGUGUAUGCGGUGAAAUGCGAUAAUGUAAAGGAAAAAAUAUGAUAUUACUUUACUAAAAGUGUUGUCCAAAUCUGGUGCCAGAAGACUCGGUAACGCCAGAAACGCGAACGUUAGUCACAUUAACCAGGCGUAAAGGGUUCGUAGGCAGUUUAAAAUUUAAAAUUUUAUAUAGCUAUUUAAAUAUAUAUUUAUAUAUGUUUAUUUUAAAAUUUUAAUUAAUUUAAGAUAGAAUCAAAUUGAGGAUAAGCCGAAUAAUGCUUAGAGUAGGGAUUAAAUCCUUAGAUACUAGGUGGAAUACUAAUGGUGAAAGCUUUUUAUCUAAUAAUGAUCGACGCUGAGGAACGAAGGUGAGAAUAGAAAAUAGGAUUAGAGACCCAGAUAUCUCUCACUGUCAACGAUGAAUGGUGGAAAGUUAGUUUUAAUAACUAGUACCGAUGUUAACGCGAUAACCAUUCCGCC